rnacentral:rRNA from 1 species
GACGUAGGAUGCAAGCGUUGUCCGGAUUUAUUGGGCGUAAAGAGUUCGUAGGCGGAUCUUUAAGUCAGGGGUGAAAUCCCAAGGCUCAACCUUGGAACUGCCUUUGAUACUGGGGAUCUCGAGUCCGGAAGAGGUGAGUGGAACUGCGAGUGUAGAGGUGAAAUUCGUAGAUAUUCGCAAGAACACCAGUGGCGAAGGCGGCUCACUGGUCCGGUACUGACGCUGAGGUGCGAAAGCGUGGGGAGCAAACAGG